UUCGUUUUUCAGGUCAUGGGCAGCCCUCUAGCUCUGUCCUAGUGUCUUACUGGGAGUAAUAAUCCUCUCUGAGAAUGGUUAGGAGAAUGGGUUGACCGUACACUGCUUAGGUAUUUCUGCACCAAAAUUUGGAAAACAACCUUUUUUUUGUAUAUGAAGGGCCAAACUGAAGGAUCCUUUGGAUGGCUUCUGAUCCUUCAAACAAUUUUAUUCUGGAGCAUAUCAGAAUGGUAAUGUGAAGUAACAUUAAAUAGAAGUAUUAACAGUGAAAUAGAAGAAAUGUGGUUUAUUUAUUAGAAGUAUUUUUACCUGGAAGGAGACAAAAAUGUACAUAAAGACUAUAGAUGUAAUGAAUAUUAAGUUAAUGGUAUCAAUAUGAAAAUGAGUUCAUGUGAUAGAUUUUAUAUCUGUAAAACUUACACAGUUUAAAACUGUUAUGCAAAUUCACUGUAUUGCACAUUAUCAUUUUAUCAAUGAGAUAAAUCUGUACAAGGAACUAAAUCUACUCAUGAAAUGUAUACUUGUUGUUUCUAUUUCUCAGGUAUCCUACAUUAGUCAGGACUGUGAAGAAAUUCCAGAAUUCCUGGGAAGAAAAUAUGGACAUAUGGCAAAAAGGCUAGAUCUUAGCUUCAACUUGUUAAGAAAAGUCCAAGAAAACUGCUGGCACUGACUGAAGAUGAAAAUAUGAUUUGUGCUGACAUCAUGUAUAGUCCAAGCAAAUCUGUUUUGUGAAAGAUGGUUUUUUUAUGGUGUUGAAAUAAAGAAUCAGUGAGUCAUUCUUGAAGGAAUAUUGGCUCAGACUUUUCUUGCCUCUGUUACCACUGCCCCACCCCUGCUUUUCCUCUUCUGCUUUGUCUUUGGGGACCUUCAUAUUGAUGCUAGCUACAAAUGGUUGUUAAACAAAUUUUCUUCUGUCCUUAAGCAUAACUGCUUCGUGUGGGUUGAUGUAAUGCAAGAAUAGUCUCUGCUGUGAGGCUAGGAGCCAUACCCAGCUAUAGCAGUGUUGAUACUGAUUUUCUGGCUCCCACAACAUUUCAUUGCAAAUUCUGUUAAGAGGUAGUAAGUUUUCUUUGCUGAGAAACUGUAGCAGCAGCAUCUGCUAAGUUGGGUUGGGUCUACUUAAAAGUUGGGUUGUUUUCAAACAGUAUUCCAUUUGUGGGCAUCUGACUUAAACUGAACUUCGACUAUAAAACACUGUGGAUGUGACCAGUCACAGUACUUGCUGAGAUGAUGUUACCUGCAGCAGCAGAGAAGAAAGCAGAUGAAUAAAAUACAGACGAUAUUCCAAUGUUGGAUUGGUUAAAAAGAAACUUAACUGGAUAAAUUAGGUAGAUUACACUAGUUUUACAGAUAAUUCGAGGCAGGAAGGCUGAAAAGGAGGUGAGGUUAGUUAUGUGAGUGGCUGGAAAGAUGUGAUGACUUAGUGUAAGUCUUAGACUGUCACUUCAGCAAAAUUCUCAGUCCAAAAUCCAUUGUCUUGGCUGAGAUACUGGGGGAGCUGGGACACUGAACAUCUGUUGGCUGCUGGGGAUACAAAUGAUUUCAGAGAGAGGGAUGUAAACCUUAUAAAAACCUUUUCCUUUGAAGUUAGGUAAAAUAUGGACUUUUAUGACUGUUUAAUUAAAUUUUUUCAAUUUGUUGUAUCUCUUAACUCCAUGGAAAUACAAAAUACACAACCAAUUGUGAUGAUGUCUAAAUUGGCACUUAAUAAAUGCUGCUUGAUCCUUCCAUAGUGGAUAAUAGUUAUCCAACUGUACUCUGCCUAGUGUCUGAGGACCCAGUGCAUCCUUUUUUUACUCAAAGAAAAGUAGCAUAAAAAUAGCUGUUUAUGUAGCACAUCUGUUCUAAAACCCCCUCAAACCAAUGGUACAACCAUUGUGUCAACAGUACAAGGCUGACUGAUGACUUCCAAAUGACCAAUCCUUUGUUUUUUGAUUUUUUGUUUCCCUGUUAUGUAGAUUGGACCUUUAAUAUAAAGUAAGUAUUUAAACAUUUUUUUUCUUUUACACCCUUCUGAAUAUACCAUGUGUGCGUUUUCCUUUCCAGCUAAUGCUGUUGUGUGGAGGAGGGGCAAGGUUUGCAGUGGCACACAGCCUUUUCAGAAAAUAGUUUGAAACUUGGGAGUUCUGUGAAGUGUUUUGCCACUGCAAAAAUGUAAGAAGGAAGGUGCAGAUGUCCCCACAAAACAAAAUCUGGAGCCUUACUGGUAUGUGGAAGUGUUGCCCCGAGCAAGGCAGGGGCUUCUGGCUCAUGGUGAAUUCUGAGCUUGUUCAGUGCAGUGCAUUGAAUCUCUUGCCCUACCUUUGCCAUGAGUCAGUGCUUUUCAGGGAAUUCAGAGUUAAUGUAUCUUAUUUCUAUACAAAGCAAGUGCUGUCCUGUGAUUUGGAG
rnacentral:lncRNA from 1 species